rnacentral:tRNA from 1 species
GCAUUGGUGGGGGGUCAGUGGUAGAAUUCCUCGCCUGCCACGCGGGAGACCGGGGUUCGAUUCCCCGCCAAUGCA